rnacentral:rRNA from 1 species
AUUGAACGCUGGCGGCAGGCCUAACACAUGCAAGUCGAGCGAACCUAGCUUGCUAGGUGAGCGGCGAACGGGUGAGUAACGCGUAGGAAUCUGCCUGGUAGUGGGGGACAACGUUCCGAAAGGAACGCUAAUACCGCAUACGCCCUACGGGGGAAAGCAGGGGAUCUUCGGACCUUGCGCUAUCAGAUGAGCCUGCGUCGGAUUAGCUAGUUGGUGGGGUAAAGGCCUACCAAGGCGACGAUCCGUAACUGGUCUGAGAGGAUGAUCAGUCACACCGGAACUGAGACACGGUCCGGACUCCUACGGGAGGCAGCAGUGGGGAAUAUUGGACAAUGGGGGCAACCCUGAUCCAGCCAUGCCGCGUGUGUGAAGAAGGCCUUCGGGUUGUAAAGCACUUUAGGUCGGGAGGAAGGUUCGCUGGCUAAUAUCCAGCGGAAUUGACGUUACCGACAGAAUAAGCACCGGCUAACUCCGUGCCAGCAGCCGCGGUAAUACGGAGGGUGCGAGCGUUAAUCGGAAUUACUGGGCGUAAAGCGCGCGUAGGCGGCUUGAUAAAUCGGGUGUGAAAUCCCUGGGCUUAACCUGGGAACUGCAUCCGACACUGUCAGGCUAGAGUGUGGGAGAGGGUGACGGAAUUCCCGGUGUAGCGGUGAAAUGCGUAGAUAUCGGGAGGAACAUCAGUGGCGAAGGCGGUUGCCUGGCCCAACACUGACGCUGAGGUGCGAAAGCGUGGGUAGCAAACAGGAUUAGAUACCCUGGUAGUCCACGCCGUAAACGAUGUCGACUAGCCGUUGGGAACCUUAGAGUUUCUUGUGGCGCAGCUAACGCGAUAAGUCGACCGCCUGGGGAGUACGGCCGCAAGGUUAAAACUCAAAUGAAUUGACGGGGGCCCGCACAAGCGGUGGAGCAUGUGGUUUAAUUCGAUGCAACGCGAAGAACCUUACCACCCCUUGACAUCCUGCGAACUUUCUAGAGAUAGAUUGGUGCCUUCGGGAGCGCAGAGACAGGUGCUGCAUGGCUGUCGUCAGCUCGUGUUGUGAAAUGUUGGGUUAAGUCCCGUAACGAGCGCAACCCUUGUCCUUAGUUGCCAGCGAGUAAUGUCGGGAACUCUAAGGAGACUGCCGGUGACAAACCGGAGGAAGGUGGGGACGACGUCAAGUCAUCAUGGCCCUUACGGGGUGGGCUACACACGUGCUACAAUGGCCGGUACAGACGGUUGCAAACCCGCGAGGGGGAGCCAAUCCGAGAAAACCGGUCGUAGUCCGGAUUGCAGUCUGCAACUCGACUGCAUGAAGUCGGAAUCGCUAGUAAUCGCGGAUCAGAAUGCCGCGGUGAAUACGUUCCCGGGCCUUGCACACACCGCCCG